rnacentral:rRNA from 1 species
CCUACGGGGGGCAGCAGUGGGGAAUAUUGCACAAUGGGGGAAACCCUGAUGCAGCAACGCCGCGUGAGCGAUGAAGGCCUUCGGGUCGUAAAGCUCUGUCUUAAGGGAAGAAUACUGACGGUACCUUAGGAGGAAGCCCCGGCUAACUACGUGCCAGCAGCCGCGGUAAUACGUAGGGGGCUAGCGUUAUCCGGAAUUACUGGGCGUAAAGGAUGCGUAGGCGGCCCUUCAAGUCAGAGGUGAAAGGCUACGGCUCAACCGUAGUAAGCCCUUGGAACUGAAUAGCUUGAGUGCAGGAGAGGAGAGUGGAAUUCCUAGUGCAGCGGUGAAAUGCAUAGAUAUUAGGAGGAACACCAGUGGCGAAGGCGACUCUCUGGACUGUAACUGACGCUGAGGCACGAAAGCGUGGGGAGCAAACAGGAUUAGAUACCCCUGUAGUC